rnacentral:rRNA from 1 species
CGGCCCUUACGUCCUGGGCUACACACGUGCUACAAUGGCCGGUACAGAGGGAAGCCACCCCGCAAGGGGGCGCGGAUCUAUAAAACCGGUCACAGUUCGGAUCGGGGUCUGCAACUCGACCCCGUGAAGCUGGAAUCGCUAGUAAUCGGAUAUCAGCCAUGAUCCGGUGAAUACGUUCCCGGGCCUUGUACACACCGCCCGUCAAGCCAUGGAAGCUG